GUGCCAGCAGCCGCGGUAAUACGUAGGUGGCAAGCGUUGUCCGGAAUUAUUGGGCGUAAAGGGCUCGCAGGCGGUUUCUUAAGUCUGAUGUGAAAGCCCCCGGCUCAMCCSGGGAGGGUCAUUGGAAACUGGGGAACUUGAKUGCAGAAGAGGAGAGUGGAAUUCCACGUGUAGCGGUGAAAUGCGUAGAGAUGUGGAGGAACACCAGUGGCGAAGGCGACUCUCUGGUCUGUAACUGACGCUGAGGAGCGAAAGCGUGGGGAGCGAACAGGAUUAGAUACCCUGGUAGUCCACGCCGUAAACGAUGAGUGCUAAGUGUUAGGGGGUUUCCGCCCCUUAGUGCUGCAGCUAACGCAUUAAGCACUCCGCCUGGGGAGUACGGUCGCAAGACUGAAACUCAAAGGAAUUGACGGGGGCCCGCACAAGCGGUGGAGCAUGUGGUUUAAUUCGAAGCAACGCGAAGAACCUUACCAGGUCUUGACAUCCUCUGACAAUCCUAGAGAUAGGACGUCCCCUUCGGGGGCAGAGUGACAGGUGGUGCAUGGUUGUCGUCAGCUCGUGUCGUGAGAUGUUGGGUUAAGUCCCGCAACGAGCGCAACCCU
rnacentral:rRNA from 1 species